GAUGUGUCCAAGUUUGCGCUUAGGUGAGCACAUAAAGCAGAAAUGCUAAGAAUCACCUGGGAAGGUCUGAGGUGCCCAUCAUCCGAGAGGGAAAGCACGAGAGUGCUGAAAUGAUCAACAGAAACAAACCAGUGGCUCUUGAAGCCAUAAACUGUGUUGAAAGGGUCAUAAGGCAUGCCACUUAGUACAAUGCGCAAAGACAUUGUUAACUUAAUUCAGACUACUCUGGUCACAUC
rnacentral:RNase_P_RNA from 1 species